UUGGAGAACACCAUGUUUGGGGUUCUUUUUUUCCCUAGCUUCUUUAUGACAUAAAUCAGAUUUUAUCCCCACUGUGCAUAUAAAUGCAAAAUCCAUUUGUACUGUAAAUGUCAGCUUCUCCAGGGACUGCUGAAGAGCUAAGUACUACCUGCUGUUGCAUUUGAUCCCCAUGCCAAUUGCCAACCAAAGCCCCAGCAAACCAUUAUAUAUCAGGUCUGAUGACUGGGAUUCAGGCUCAGUGCCAAAACAACACUGAUACCUGGAACACAAUACACAGCCCCUUUCUAAGAGCUUUUCUGCCCACUAUCACUGUUUGAAAUAAUUCCUUGUUCUCUCUUGACUUGCAAGAAACUGUAGGAUCUAUCUAUAACAGCAGUCCCUGUUUCCCUCCCUUCUCCCCCCCACCCUUUAUCAAAUCAGACGUCCAAAAUCAAGUGCCUGUGUGCUCUGCUGACAAGCACAAGGGGAUUAGGGAGUGACAGGUUUAACAAAACUGGCUCAAGGUUUUGUAAAAUGCAUUUUGGAGCUUGAGCUCUGAACGAGCCAUAAAAUUCCUCCCAUGAGGUAGAAGUGAGGUUUCUGCAAGACUGGAUCAGAACUUAAUAAUGCUUUUCUAGGUUAUUUUUUUUCUUGCUUUCAAAAAGGUGCUACAAAAACAUAUGGGUUUUGAAGAUGCUGCAAGACUAACAAUGGUUUAACGUAACCGUAGUGUAGAAAAAAUCACAAAUGUGUUUUACCACCAGCAAAAAACUGAUUUCUGGGCUGCAUGCAAGCCAUUUGGGGCAAUUAGCAUGUAAUGUAAUUUGCAUUAAUCAGCACAGGGUCAGCAAGAAAUUAACUUUGGGUGUAGGUUUUACAUAUAACAGAGUAUGAGAAGAAGGGAGGAACUGUUUUUACAGGGUGUUAAUUUGGAGUUAAGUGCAUUCAGUGAGUUCUGUAGGGUUUGGCCUUGCAGAAGAAAGAUGAAUGAUGUGGAUUUGGGAGCACCGAAAGCACAAAAUGAUGUGGCAAUUUAGCAAGCAUUUAAUGUUACAAUAUGUAAACGCUUUAACAGACUUCUUGGCACUUGUAAAGAUCAGAGCACAGGUUCUGCUGAAGCACUGAACAUGCUGCUAGUGCUGAAGGGCUGUGUAUGGGUGGAUGUGGAUGGGGUCCCACGAGGCUGUGUGCACUGACCAUGCGUUGCGCCAGAUGAUUCAAGAACAUAGAUAUCCCAAAAGCUCAGAUCUCUGUGCAGCUCCACGGUAUUACCUUACUGAGAGCUCUGAAGUGGGAGGAAUUUAGACAAAUGACUCAUUUCCUCAUGCACCCCUUUGGCCCUCUAGCCUUUCCCUCUGCUGCCAUUUCAUUUCACAAAGUCUCCUGGGGCUCCAUAAGCCUCUGGUGCUAGCAACAUGAUAAGUGUUGUGAGAAAUCCACUGCUGGAGGCACAGAAAUUGUUUUUGACAAGUGGUAUCUGAGCAUCUGGGAAAUGAGAUGCUGAAGAGUCUGGUGGUGUUUGGCUAUGGUAUGAGCAUAGAUAAGAUGUAUAUGGCUGUUCUUAUGCCUUUUUCAUUGAAUGAAUCCCAAAAUCACAUGAUGGUUUGUCUUGGAAGGGACCUUAAAGAUCAUCUAGUUUCGACCCCACUGGCAAGGGCAGGGGUCAUGAAAAGCAAUUACCAGUUGUGUGGCAUGGAAGGUGUCUGAAAAUGAGUCUCUUUUGUUACCUCGUUUUUUGCAGAGGAUAAUCUCAAGGCACUUUGGAGCUGCCAUGUAGAGACAUGAAGUACA